ACCAAGGCUUUUUUUAAAGCCAGAAAAUGCACAAAAAGAACAAG
rfam:Cathartes aura contig26029, whole genome shotgun sequence.